rnacentral:rRNA from 1 species
UCAAGAAACUUCCACAAUGGGCGAAAGCCUGAUGGAGCGACGUCGCGUGAUGGACGAAGUGCUUCGGCACGUAAACAUCUUUUUAUGUGGGAUGAAAUUAUUGACAGUACCACAUGAAUAAGGGGCUCCUAACUCUGUGCCAGCAGGAGCGGUAAUACAGAGGCCCCAAGCGUUAUCCGGAAUCACUGGGCGUAAAGGGUGUCGAGGCGGUUGUAUUAGUCGUUCGUAAAAUCUACGAGCUUAACUUGUAGGCGGCGAACGAAACGGUACGACUUGAGGUUUGGAGAGGUGCGUGGAACUCACGGUGUAGGGGUGAAAUCCGUUGAUAUCGUGGGGAACACCAAAGGCGAAGGCAGCGCACUGGCCAAAAUCUGACGCUCACACACGAAAGCUAGGGUAGCGAAGAGGAUUAGAUACCCGCGUAGUCCCUGAGCGGGCUGGCAAGGCGCAU